GUUAAUUUUCUGUCUAGUAAAAUAUUUCCCCUUGCUUUGUCUACCUUUACAUUUAGCAACACCGCCACCACCCCUGUCUCUCCGCCAGCGUCGCUCAGAUGGACCCGCCACCACCCUCCACAACUAAACUCCGCCUGAUGUGCAGCUAUGGAGGGCACAUCGUCACACGCCUCCACACCAAGUCUCUCUACUAUGCUGGCGGCGAUACCCGCAUCAUAACCAUUCCCACCACCGC
rnacentral:misc_RNA from 1 species